AGCGAACGCUGGCGGCAGGCCUAACACAUGCAAGUCGAGCGCCGUAGCAAUACGGAGCGGCAGACGGGAGAGUAACACGUGGGAACGUACCCUUUGGUUCGGAACAACCCAGGGAAACUUGGGCUAAUACCGGAUAAGCCCCCACGGGGAAAGAUUCAUCGCCGAAGGAUCGGCCCGCGUCUGAUUAGCUAGUUGGUGGGGUAAUGGCCCACCAAGGCGACGAUCAGUAGCUGGUCUGAGAGGAUGAUCAGCCUCACUGGGACUGAGACACGGCCCAGACUCCUACGGGAGGCAGCAGUGGGGAAUAUUGGACAAUGGGCGCAAGCCUGAUCCAGCCAUGCCGCGUGGGUGAUGAAGGCCCUAGGGUUGUAAAGCCCUUUCGGCGGGGAAGAUAAUGACGGUACCCGCAGAAGAAGCCCCGGCUAACUUCGUGCCAGCCGCCGCGGUAAAAC
rnacentral:rRNA from 1 species